GUGCUCACUCUGGUAGCACAUAUACUAAAAUUGGAACAAUAUAGAGAAGAUUACCAUGGCACCUGCACAAGAAUGACAUGGAAAUUCAUGAAGUGUUCUAUAUAGGG
ensembl:snRNA U6 U6 spliceosomal RNA